rnacentral:rRNA from 1 species
GACGAACGCUGGCGGCGUGCUUAACACAUGCAAGUCGAACGGAAAGGCCCUGCUUUUGUGGGGUGCUCGAGUGGCGAACGGGUGAGUAACACGUGAGUAACCUGCCCUUGACUUUGGGAUAACUUCAGGAAACUGGGGCUAAUACCGGAUAGGAGCUCCUGCUGCAUGGUGGGGGUUGGAAAGUUUCGGCGGUUGGGGAUGGACUCGCGGCUUAUCAGCUUGUUGGUGGGGUAGUGGCUUACCAAGGCUUUGCCGGGUAGCCGGCCUGAGAGGGUGACCGGCCACAUUGGGACUGAGAUACGGCCCAGACUCCUACGGGAGGCAGCAGUGGGGAAUAUUGCACAAUGGGCGGAAGCCUGAUGCAGCAACGCCGCGUGCGGGAUGACGGCCUUCGAGUUGUAAACCGCUUUCGCCUGUGACGAAGCGUGAGUGACGGUAAUGGGUAAAGAAGCACCGGCUAACUACGUG